AGAAAGGCAGACACCGAAGCUGAGCUUCUUGGCAGGGGAGGACGAAAAUGAGGACCCGCAGUGCCAGCAGCAGCCACCCAUGCACAGUGACUGGGCUUUGCAAGAAGCAGAUGACAGCUCUGCCCUAGAUGAUAGGAUCUUACCAGUAGAUGGAAGACAGGUUAUCUGGAAUCACAGCUCCAGCCUUGGGCAACAGACAAGAGGCAGAGGCCACGGAGGUGACACUGGUAAUUUUGGAGGAGUCAUCUGACCAAGGCUGGAGGUUCUGCAGGGCAAAGAGGGAAG